CCAAUCCCUGCGGCAGACCGAGGUGCCAGAGCUGCCAAACUUCCCCUCGUCCCUGUGCCAUGGAGGGGUUUGGUUUCAUUGAAAUUCCCUGAGAUCGGUGAUAAAUGGGAUGUGCUGAGUGGGAUCGUGAUGGUUCAAGAGCGUGGGGAAAAGCAAAAAUGCUUCCAGCAGGCUGGAAAAUAUCCCUGGAGCAGGAUCCCCAGGCAGUAGGAAGUGCAAAAGGAAGCAAAGAUGCUGCGUUUGGUAUGAAUCCAAACAGUUUGGGGAUGGGGGGCACCAAAAAAAGUGGAUUUCCAGUGGAUUUGGAGUCUGUGCUGCUGA